AACGAACGCUGGCGGCAGGCUUAACACAUGCAAGUCGAACGCAUCCUUCGGGGUGAGUGGCAGACGGGUGAGUAACACGUGGGAACGUACCUUUCGGUUCGGGAUAACCCAGGGAAACUUGGGCUAAUACCGGAUACGUCUUCGGGGAGAAAGAUUGAUUGCCGAGAGAUCGGCCCGCGUCUGAUUAGCUAGUUGGUGGGGUAAUGGCCCACCAAGGCGACGAUCAGUAGCUGGUCUGAGAGGAUGAUCAGCCACACUGGGACUGAGACACGGCCCAGACUCCUACGGGAGGCAGCAGUGGGGAAUAUUGGACAAUGGGCGCAAGCCUGAUCCAGCCAUGCCGCGUGAGUGAUGAAGGCCUU
rnacentral:rRNA from 1 species